UUCAUAGGCCUAACAUCUUUCAAUUAAGAUAGUUUGAUAUUAAUUUCAGUUGGAGGUUUUAUUAUUCAGUCAAUUUACUUAAAUGUUAAUAAAACAAACAAACAAAAAACCAAACAACCCACAAUCUCUAGAGAAUCUUUCCAUUAUCAUCCUCCAGUUAGAAAAGUGCUUAUUUAUUCUUGCCCUUUGUUUCCUGUCUCUAAGUACUUACCCACAACAAAAACAUUUCCCCUAAUGUCAUGGUAACUACUGAAGAAAAUUUCCCUUCUCAUUUUGUCCUUUUAUCUAAUAGUUUAUUUUUACAGUGUGUCCUGAAGUAAUUUGCCCAUGUAUGGCAGAUUCUAACAACUUGUUAGGCAUCUUACUAGAAGUCCUUCUUUAUAUUUUCCUACUGAAACCAUUUAAAUCCAAGGGAUUCCAACUGAGAGAUUUUCAUUGGCACCUUAUCGUUGAUUAUUAGAAAGCUUUUUCACCCAUAACACAGUGUCUUCUGAAUCUCAGUGAUUCUGGAAUGAAUUAGAGUGUAUUGGAAUGAAAUUCCUUCUCAGCCUUCUUCUUACAGCUGGCUUUUUCUUUUUUUCUUUUUCUUUUUCUUUUCUUUUUUUUUUUUUUUUGUUUGUUUGGCUUCUUUUUUUUUUUUUUUCCUCCUCAAUGAUGAAGUGUGAAGAUUGUCCAGGGCUUGGAAAAGACAUAGAUUAGAGGAAUCAAACAUAUAACGGUUUUAAAUGAAAAAUAUCAGGAAGGAGAAAAUAAGCAGAACAAUGAGAUGAAGAAAAAGAUGCAUCAGGUAACUAUACAUUUUAGGAUUUAUAUUUUUUAAGGGGUAGAUAAUAAAAGUGAUCUUAAAAAUAAAUUAUCUAUUCUAAUCCUAUCAAUUUAAAAGAGGGAAAUAAUUGUUUCAGAAAUGUGAUUUAACUUUCAUACAGUCCCACAUCAGUAAAUGGAAAAUCACUAUUCAAAAUUCCACUCUGAAGUUAUUCCAUCACAUGAUCUGUCCUACCUUAGAAGAACUGAGCUUCUGUUCAAUUCGGACUUCAAAAUAAAUCUUAAAUGUAAAGUUACCUAUUUUAAAGGAAAUCAUUUCUUCUAUAGCAAUACUUGAAUAUA
rnacentral:lncRNA from 1 species